rnacentral:rRNA from 1 species
UCCUUUGUUGCCAGCACUACGGGUGGGAACUCAAAGGAGACUGCCGGUGAUAAACCGGAGGAAGGUGGGGAUGACGUCAAGUCAUCAUGGCCCUUACGAGUAGGGCUACACACGGGCUACAAUGGCGUAUACAAAGAGAAGCAAACUCGCGAGAGCCAGCGGACCUCAUAAAGUACGUCGUAGUCCGGAUUGGAGUCUGCAACUCGACUCCAUGAAGUCGGAAUCGCUAGUAAUCGUAGAUCAGAAUGCUA